rnacentral:rRNA from 1 species
AAUGAACGCUGGCGGCAGGCCUAACACAUGCAAGUCGAACGGAUCCUUCGGGAUUAGUGGCGGACGGGUGAGUAACGCGUGGGAACAUACCCAAAGGUACGGAAUAGCCUCGGGAAACUGGGAGUAAUACCGUAUGUGCUCGAAAGAGGAAAGAUUUAUCGCAUUUGGAUUGGCCCGCGUUGGAUUAGGUAGUUGGUGGGGUAAUGGCCUACCAAGCCGACGAUCCAUAGCUGGUUUGAGAGGAUGAUCAGCCACACUGGACUGAGACACGGCCCAGGCUCCUACGGGGGGCAGCAGUUGGGAAUCUUAGACAAUGGGGGAAACCCUGAUCUAGCCAUGCGGCGUGAUCGAUGAAGGCCUUAGGGUUGUAAAGAUCUUUCAGGUGGGAAGAUAAUGACUGUACCACCAGAAGAAGCCCCGGCUAACUCCGUGCCAGCCGCCGCAGUAA